UACAGAGGGGGCAAGCGUUGUUCGGAAUUACUGGGCGUAAAGGGCGCGUAGGCGGCCUGUUAAGUCGAACGUGAAAUCCCCGGGCUCAACCCGGGAACUGCGUCCGAUACUGGCAGGCUUGAAUCCGGGAGAGGGAUGCGGAAUUCCAGGUGUAGCGGUGAAAUGCGUAGAUAUCUGGAGGAACACCAAGUGGCGAAGGC
rnacentral:rRNA from 1 species